AGACAUGGAAUCAGCCAUUGCAGAACAUCGCUUCUAGUAGGCUAGACGGGAAGUUGCUUCUGGAACUGAGUCAGGAGCCUCUCCUUCCCACUGUGGCUGCGUGACACAUAGCUGACAUCUCUCCUCAGAGGAACACGUCAGGCCAUCAUGAACCAAGAUCAGUGAAGAGCUUCCUUACUCAGUCCAAGAACAAGAAGAGCACACUGGACCCAAAGUAAGCAGAUGAAAAUCUCAGAACCUGGGAUGAUGCUGAAAUGGCCUUCUAGACAACAAGGAAUGAGAAGGACCACAUGAUAAAGAUCUUCCUAAGGGCUCUGUGACCAACUAUUGAAGACUUCACACUGCCCAACUCCAGGGGACACAAUUCACAUAGACUUCAUGUGCAUGAUCCUUCAUCCUGCCACCUUGAAGUCUGUACAGCACAGCAACCUCUGUCUACUCAGGAACCAAUCAAACAAGAUGAACCACUGCUCAAGAAAGGAAAUCACAGUUAAGUGAGGUUUCAGGAAGAAAAGGACAGUUCAAGGAGUCAUGAAAGCUUCAUUCUGGUGUUGGUUCUGCCAAUAACUAAUUAUGUGACUCACAGUGCUCUUUUCUGGGACUCUGUUCCUUUCUCUGCAAAAUAAAAGAAGUU